rnacentral:rRNA from 1 species
CACGUAGGGUGCGAGCGUUGUCCGGAAUUAUUGGGCGUAAAGAGCUCGUAGGCGGUGUGUCGCGUCGGCCGUGAAAACCUGCAGCUUAACUGUGGGCUUGCGGUCGAUACGGGCAUCACUGGAGUUCGGCAGGGGAGACUGGAAUUCCUGGUGUAGCGGUGAAAUGCGCAGAUAUCAGGAGGAACACCGGUGGCGAAGGCGGGUCUCUGGGCCGAUACUGACGCUGAGGAGCGACAGCGUGGGGAGCAAACAGG